rnacentral:rRNA from 1 species
AUUGAACGCUGGCGGCAGGCCUAACACAUGCAAGUCGAGCGAGCGGCGGACGGGUGAGUAAUGUCUGGGAAACUGCCUGAUGGAGGGGGAUAACUACUGGAAACUGUAGCUAAUACCGCAUACCAUCAGAUGUGCCCAGAUCGGAUUAGCUAGUAGGUGGGGUAAUGGCUCACCUAGGCGACGAUCCAUAGCUGGUCUGAGAGGAUGACCAGCCACACUGGAACUGAGACACGGUCCAGACUCCUACGGGAGGCAGGAGUGGGGAGUAUUGCACAAUGGGCGCAAGCCUGAUGCAGCCAAGCCGCGUGUGUGAAGAGGGCCUUCGGGUUGUAAAGCACUUUCAGCGGGGAGGCGUUACCCGCAGAAGAAGCACCGGCUAACUCCGUGCCAGCCGCCGCGGUAAUAC